rnacentral:rRNA from 1 species
GACGAACGCUGGCGGCGUGCCUAAUACAUGCAAGUAGGACGCAGUUGCGAACGGGUGAGUAACGCGUAGGUAACUACCUAUUAGAGGGGGAUAACUAUUGGAAACGAUAGCUAAUACCGCAUACUAGUAGAUGGACCUGCGUUGUAUUAGCUAGUAGGUAGGGUAAUGGCCUACCUAGGCAACGAUACAUAGCCGACCUGGGAGGGUGACAGGCAAAACGGGGACUGAGACACGGCCCAGACUCUUACGGGAGGAAGCAGUAGGGAAUCUUCGGCAAGGGGGGGAACCCUGACCGAGCAACGCGGCGUGAGUGAAGAAGGUUUUCGGACCGUAAAAUUCGGUUGUUAGAGAAGCGGUAUCUAACCAGAAAGCCACGGCUAACUACGUGCCAGCAGCCGCGGUAAUAC